CAAACGAGAAACGACAGUCGUAAGCGCAUCACAGACGCAGGGAAAUGUCGAAUGGGUGUGUCCAAGCUACAUCGAUGUAACAGGACGUAGUAUUUGCAAACGAACAGGAGAAAACGUGAGCAAAUACUAUCAAAAUGCAAAACAGAGUCCAUGAAUAUACAAACCAAAGCUUCACAAAAUCGUUCUCGAUGUCCACAGGUCCAGAUCAAUUACACGAAAUCGCGUUUGAUGUAUAAAACAAACUGUCACAGCUAAGAACAUGGAAAGCGCGACCACGGAAAAUAGCAAGAAACCCACUGAGGAUGCUACAACUGUGGUGAAGCACUUUUGGGUGAUAAAGUAAAACAAUAAUUUGUGUACUUACAAAAAGGUGGAAUCACCCUUAAUUCAUUAACCUUUUUCUGCAAGCACUGGAACUGAGUCCAAACUCAAAUAGGCCUAUGAUGUAAACAGACUGUUGUAUUAUAGAGGAUGAGAAUCUGAAACUCUCAGGAAUACCUGUAAUACUACCUUUAUCACAUAGUUCUCCAGUUGGCCAACUCUUAAAGUUGCUGGGCAUAAAACUGAUGAACUACAAGAGGAAAUUUUCAACAAAUGAUGCCUUCAAGGGAUGGUCUAUGGACAAGUAUUCCACAGGGGAUACUUAGGAUCCACUAUUUUAUGUGUAUUAAUAAUCUUGUGAUGCAUAUAUGUUUAUUGUAAAUGGUGUCGAAAUAGCGGUAAGAAAAUGUGUCUAAUACAAGUAUAGACUGUUCGGUCAGGAGAACUAAGGAAACUGAAUCCCUUUCUCCAAAACCAGAUUUCACUCGAUUAUGCCUAAAGUGAUACAAUGUAGUGGUAAAAUAUUGACAUAUUUUGUGAAAAUAUGUAUAACACUGUUGAAAAUAAAGAAUGAUAACAGUCAGAA